rnacentral:rRNA from 1 species
GAUGAACGCUGGCGGCGUGCCUAAUACAUGCCAGUCGAGCGAACAGACGAGGAGCUUGCUCCUCUGACGUUAGCGGCGGACGGGUGAGUAACACGUGGAUAACCUACCUAUAAGACUGGGAUAACUUCGGGAAACCGGAGCUAAUACCGGAUAAUAUAUUGAACCGCAUGGUUCAAUAGUGAAAGACGGUUUUGCUGUCACUUAUAGAUGGAUCCGCGCCGCAUUAGCUAGUUGGUAAGGUAACGGCUUACCAAGGCAACGAUGCGUAGCCGACCUGAGAGGGUGAUCGGCCACACUGGAACUGAGACACGGUCCAGACUCCUACGGGAGGCAGCAGUAGGGAAUCUUCCGCAAUGGGCGAAAGCUUGACGGAGCAACGCCGCGUGAGUGAUGAAGGUCUUCGGAUCGUAAAACUCUGUUAUUAGGGAAGAACAAAUGUGUAAGUAACUAUGCACGUCUUGACGGUACCUAAUCAGAAAGCCACGGCUAACUACGUGC